CAGUGUGUUUGUUUGUUCACCUAAAAAGUCUUGUUCAGCAUUUGGUUGUACUAAAAGACCCUCUGAAGAUUCAGAUGUUCGUUUUUUCUGACCCGUCUCUGUUUCAUGUGCCUGAGGAGAGUGGUGUAUGUCUCCUUGUCUAUUUCUUUACCAUGUCUGAACCGCAGGCAGCACACGCGACUUCCACUCGUCCAUUAAUGCCUCUGGAUCAGGAACAGGUGGUUAAUAUAAUUCCAUUUGAAGGCUUUUCCAACACUGGCUGCACGCUCUGUGAAGAGGCCAAAAGUGGGGGGAAAAUGGCUACAUUUUAAAGACUGUGUGGGCAAACAUCCUAUAAGAGGCAAUUAUGGGAUUAAACAUAUGUUAGAUGCGUUGUUUGUCUUCUGAUUUUCACACACCCACACUCACACGCACACACUGCAUAUAACACCUGUUGUCUUGUCAAACAACAUUCCUGCUGUACUUAUCUAUCCUUGCAAAAUAAGUACAACAUGAAUCUUGUUUGACAAGACAAUAUCAUGCAGUGGAAUGGCUUUAAUCUGUUGUUUUGCGAGACAUAACUCAGAUAAAGUGAUCUGAAUCAGUUGUGUUAUGUCUGUGUUAAAGUGUUAAGAUAAAUUGGUAAGCAGAGUUCUCUUUUCAUAUCUUCCACCCACAAUACUGAAAAACCUGUCAUGUGCAGUGCCUGUAAAUAAACAUCAGCAGGUGAACGUCAAAACCUGACAUAGUCAUCACUGCAGAAGAAUGCUGGAGUCACAUGGAUGUGCCCACAGACGGAGUUUUGUUUGUUUGUCGUUAUGGUGAUGCUGUAAUUUAAAUGUCAGAGGACUUCAGGCGAUAUUUUCACACUAGCUUUACAUAUUUGGUAAUAUUACUGGCGUGAUAUCACAGAUAAAGAUCUGUUUUCACAGUAGCUGCUGAGACACGGUAGCAAAGUGGUUGGCUGGUCUUUACUGCAGUUAAAAGGCCAAAGCACAUGCUGAAGAAAUGUAAUGUUAUGGUACCCACAGUUAUAUAACACAUCCAUUCUUGUCCAUUACUGAUGUCAAGAUCCUUAAUUUAACUAAAAGUUGUAAUACCACAAUGUAAAACUACUUCAUUUCAAGUAAAAUUGUCAGUAAAAGUGUAGAACUAUUAUCAGCUAAAUGUACUUUGGGUAUCAAAAGUAAAAGUAAUCAUUAUGCAGCUGAAUGGCUGCUAUCAGUAUUAUAGAUUAUAUAUCAUACUAUCACAUUAUUAUUACUGAUGCAUGCUGGUCUCAUUAUGACUACUUUAUAUACUGUUGGAUAGUUAUUCUAAAAUUGAGCAUAUUUUAUGAUUUCAUCAUAUGUUUUACAUGUAAAAUUCUAAUAUUCAAAGUAGCAAGUAAGUAUGCAUUAAAUAAAUGUAGUGGAGUAAAAAGUACUAUAUUUCCCUCUGAAGUGUAAUGGAGUAAAAGUAAAAAGUAGCAGAAAAUGGGAAUAGUAUACGUACAAAAACCUCAAAAUUGUACUUAAGUAUGGUACCUGUUACUUUAAACCAUUGUCUAUUAGCUUUAUCUGUAACAUUUUAUUUUACUCCCCCUAUUCAGAGUUGAAUUGUCUUGAAUUUAUUUCAUUGCGAUGCACAGUGCAAAUCAGUAAACUUUGAACCUGACAGGAUCAGCCCUAAGGUCCCUCAUCAGAUGGUGAUAUUCACCAUGCUCCUGUCUAGCAGGAUAGGAUGUACCCACAAUGACCUUCACUGCUUUCUCUUGUUCAUUAAAAAUAAUCUAACUUGACACAGCUGGAGCAGUACUCUUCGAUGCCGGUCCACUAAACACUAGGCCUACUCACAGAGAACUAGCUAGUGCACUCAACUCAACUCAACUCACUAGUAAACUUACUAACUGUACUAAUUUGAAAGUUAGUAGUUAUGUUAUAGAUUUCUUAUUUCUAGAACAUAUAUUUUAAUAUGUUGCUAUAGCCUAUAAAGAAAAUAUUGUUGUACCAGCAGGGAUACAGUAGUGCACAGAAGCCAUUUCCAUGAUUACUACACAUAGAGCACCUAGCGUUUACUCACGGAGCACUUGCCUGCCUGUCAAUUUACAUGAGGAGUGCAGUGAGACCCUGUGGAUCCAGAGUGUCGCUUACCGUCUGAAAAGACCUUUACUGUUAAUGUCUUGCCUGGCCAAUCGAUUGGAUGAGUGCCAGAUCACACCCCUAGUGGGUGGGACUAUUUUGUUCCAAAAUAUGGUAGAGUACAGGCUGCACCAGUAGAUUUUUGAAAGUCGCAAAUAGCAGCACCUGGAAAAAUAAUGGCUGAGGCGUUGGCAUUGAUUAACAAACGUAUAAAACUCCUGCAUAUAUGAUGGUGAUUUAAAAUCUUAGUUGUUGGCCCUUUAAAAAUCCUGAGGACACUUUCUACUGUUGUUGUAGUCAAGGCACAUUACAGUUUUCAAAAGGAAGAAAGAAAAAUGAUGAAAGUUAAUGGUAUAAAUGAGUACAUUAGAUAGUAAAUCAAAAACUAAGCGUUUAAUAGUCUAUUAGGUCAAUGCAGAGGCACUUGAAUAGAUUAGGUUUUAACCAGCACUGAUGGUUGAUUAAAUCAAUGGAAAUCAAUGGAAACAGUUGUACCGAUGCCUUCAUGUCUGGAUUUCUACAGAAGCAACAAUAAGCUGGAAGUGAUCUAUUCUAUAUAUUAAAGGCUAAACAUGGAAAAGCGAUCAGACGGGGGUCACCCAUGGGUGAAGAAAUUAACUUUUUUUUUUCCCUCUGUGAAUCCACUCUAUGUUGGCUUAAGGAAACCUUCAAAGCAAGUGAAGUAAUGCCAAUUACAGAACAAGCUGAUGUAAUCAUCAAUGGAGUUUGACUACUUUAUUAAAUGAAAGGAACAACAUCAAAAAUAAAGCUCAGCUGGUCAAUUUCUUAUCAAAAGAGACUGUAUUUUCUCAUUUGUUUUUACAAUAUUUAGAUGACUUGCCUCCAUUUGAACCCGCAUUUUUGGAUUAUUAUGACCACGUUCUGACCUCUUUGAGAGGACAGCGAGAAAUGAGGCCCACAGCAGAUCCUUAUGGCGAAGUGAUAGUGAUGGAAAUGUGAGGGGAGCCAGUAAGAAAAGGCCUGUGCUUUAGUUGGAGGCUGACCAAGACUCUGAGCAAAGAAAACAGGGGCGAGCUGCUGUGAAGACAGUUGGGAUAUUAUCCACACAUGACAUGUACGCUGAGGCUGAUUUAUAACAGCAGUGUGGAACUUGGCAAGCUAUUAUUUUUCAAUGAAAAUCGGUUUUCUGCCUCUUCGAUUUGUUUGCUGGAUUGCACUGGCUGUUUGGACAUUUUCUGGCAUGAGGUUUGUAAGAAAGACAUAUUUUUGACUUUUUUUGUCUUUUUUCAAUUCUGCAGGAAAUUAAGAGUCAUUCACAAAGACAUUUUUUCAGCAUUACUAAUGUGACUGUCAGAUCAUGACUUAUUCAAAAAGGUUGACGUGUGCUCCUCCUCCUUCAUGUGGUUUUUAAGAGGCGUACACUGACAGAGAUAGCCACAAAUGGAAAACAAAACGGGAACUGCUGGCGGAAGAUCAAGCCUCAGAACCGAACAACAGGCAACUUAAAUCACCUAAACAUACACUGAAUACAAAAUAUCAUAAUGUGGUUACAGAGACAGCCACAGGUCACUGUAGAGCAUGCAACAGAACAGGAUAUGUAUCAUCAUGUAUAUGUAUCAAUAUGUCAUGCAUGUGUUUUUUACUGUAUGCAUCCCAGAGCAAGACACUGCCAGUUCACUCACAGGAUUCAAGGAUUUCUAAUGGUCAAAUUGCUCACCACAGUGAAAUUUACAGUGACCAGCAUCACAAGGCUGUGCACAAGACAACAAAAACAGAAACUGAAACAUAAGAAGGAAAUUUGUUUUUUUCCACAAAGAGAAAGCAUACAAAUGGGUUUCAUAAUGUGUCAAGGAGAAUAAGCUAUUGUAGUCCUUUCCUUACCAAAACUAUAGUAUGCUAACUUGAAUUUACUGUAUACUUAAAAGAAAUGUACUGAUAAGUGUUCUCAAACUUGCACUAAUCAAUAUUUUUAUAUUGAUAAUGGAUUAAAUGACUCUAUGUGAGAGGGGUUGUGGUGACACAGUAGAGCAUUUCGCAGCUAAACAGCCAGAUAUUUCCCUCAGGAGAUGGCGGAGACCGAAACAGAAUUAAAAGUAUGUGCUUUCCUUUGGUGUCCAGUAACACACUAAAGUUGCUUUGUGUCUGCUGGAUGUGUAAUAAGGCAAUUGCUUGCCAACAUGUUAGCCAUAACCGCUUUGAUUAUAUGUCAGUGUUUACAGCUUGUUGCUCUGCCCCCAUGUGGCCAAAAAAAUCAUUUAAUACAACUUUAAACAUGGUGUAGUAGGAUUAAAAAUGAAUAAUCUAAAAAACAUGUACACUGAGUGUGUAUUGGAAAGAGGACGGGAGUUAGCACUUGAGUUUCCUAGUUUGGGGCCCUGGCAGUAAGUCACAUAUAAAAUGUACAGCAAAUUGUGAAAUCUUUAAAACCAUUUGAGAUCAACAUUUGAUGGAAAAAAUACCUCUUAAAGGUUCAGAAAAGUUACAGCCCAGCCAAACAAUCAUAAAAAACAUCUAAACUUCUAUGACUUUCAUGUCAUAUUCCGAAACUUUGAUCAGGUACAGAGGUCUUAACAUUCAUGGCUGGAGAUUGUCCUGAGAGGAGCAAUCACAAUGAGACAUAACAGUGCUUAUUGAUAAAUGUUACUUUGCUUGUCUCUUUCUCCUUCUCCUCCUCAAAAAGGUACAACUGCUUUACCUUUGAAUAUGGAAUAAUGUGAUCGAGCCACCAGAUUUUCCUUAAAAGUGAGAGAGGCCAACCAAUAUAAUCAAAUAAAGUCCCUGGUUGGGUAAAGUAAUUGGUCAUGUGUGCAGCUUGUGAGCCACAGCAAUGACUAAGAGCUGAUGAGUGGAAAUAUCUAUAACAUAAAUGCAGAGUCCGAUGUUCUGUGUUGCUUCCCUCCCGCUCCCUUUACUCCCCUCCCUGAAACUCCCCUCCCUUCCCUUCCUGCUUUCCCGCCAACUCAAAUUUUCGCAACUUCAUUUCACAGGCAUGCUUUCUCUCUCUCUCUCUCUCUCUCUCUAGUCUCAUUUUCCUUUUUCUUUCACUCUCUCUAUCUCUCCUCUGACAAAUAAACAGGUCUCACGUGAGCUCCUCUUCCACUCCGUCUCAUGCACUCAGAGCGGACACCGCCCUGUCUGGCCUCUGUGGCGACCUGAGACGCACCGUGAUUGGCUGAGGCCCGGGACUGCAGCGAGAGGAACCGCGAGUGGCAGACAGGCAUAGCGUGUCUGAGACAAAAACACAGGGCGGCCUGCCAGCUGCUGUCCCUGAGGGGUGAGGACUGGGAGAUGGAAAACACGGACUGAGUCAGUCAGUGUGAAGGGUUUCACUUGAACACGCUGUACAUGUGUUUUGCACGCACAUUGUGACCACAUGUUAAAUACUUCCAAAGAGCAUGAAGAUUAUAUUCUGUUAAAUGUGAAUAUUUUAUCCUUAAGACAUUCAAUAUAAAUAUUACCCAUUCCAGGAGUCAUUUUGUAAAGGGAGAUAUUGCAGUUUUCAAACAGAUAUCAAAUUUAGGAAUGAAACCCUUCCCUUGUGGACUGGCUGAGUGAUGAAAUGACUAGAUGCUUCAACAGAUGACAGAUGCUUGAAACACCUCAUGGAAAAAGACUCUGAAGCAGCUACAGUAAAUCACCGGUUUUGACAGUUUGAAAAAGAAGUCUGGCAAUUAUAGUGCUCUAAAGCGUGAGUUUUCAAAGCAACAUGAGACAGCAGGGCUCUAUUUUUGCCUCAUGUUGACGUCUCAAAUCAUCUGUGCCCAAAUUGCAGCUGCAUUCGAUCAAAAACGCUGAAAAAUAAUUUAAUAUAGGAAGAGCUGACAGUCUUUAAAGUCAUGACAGAGAGGAACAGUGGUACUUGAAGUUUACCAACAGGGUUAGUAUAUGAACAUGAACAUGAGGAGGUUGUUAUUUUAUAAUAUUUUUCUGCUGCCUGUAUGUUUGUCUGAGUGAUGAAUUGGCAGCCUGACAAACUUAGCAGCACCCUCACUGCUGACUGAUGAAGUCUCUAAUUAACUGUUUGACUCGCCUGCUAAAUGAUAAAUCGUCAGUAUGGCUGGUGUGUGGUUACCAUUGGCGUAAGUACAGUAGCUGGUGUACUGAAUGGUGGCAUGCUCGGUCAUGCAGGUGUACUGGAAGGGGACUUACUGUAUCUGUUAAGUGGUGCACUGGUUAUUCUGAAGUUAAAGGUCUCCUCCAGACAUGUUUUAAGACAUAUAAAUACUCUGCUUUGAAUAAUAA